rnacentral:rRNA from 1 species
AUUGAACGCUAGCGGGAUGCUUUACACAUGCAAGUCGAACGGAGUGGCGAACGGGUGAGUAAUGUAUCGGAACGUGCCCAGUAGCGGGGGAUAACUACGCGAAAGCGUAGCUAAUACCGCAUACUCUUGGAGCGGCCGAUAUCGGAUUAGCUAGUUGGUGAGGUCAAGGCUCACCAAGGCGACGACCAGUAGCUGGUUUGAGAGGACGACCAGCCACACUGGGACUGAGACACGGCCCAGACUCCUACGGGAGGCAGCAGUGGGGAAUUUUGGACAAUGGGGGCAAGCCUGAUCCAGCCAUCCCGCGUGUGCGAUGAAGGCCUUCGGGUUGUAAAGCACUUUUGGCAGGAAAGCGGUACCUGCAGAAUAAGCACCGGCUAACUACGUGCCAGCAGCCGCGGUAAUUC